ACCCGUUCCCAUCCCGAACACGGAAGUUAAGCUCUCCAGCGCCGAUGGUAGUUGGGGCCAGCGCCCCUGCAAGAGUAGGUCGUUGCUAGGC
rnacentral:rRNA from 1 species